rnacentral:lncRNA from 1 species
UUAUGGACUGAAUGGAUCACUAUCCAAUCUUAGGCUUCUCACCACCAAUGGGCCUGGUCAAUGGGCGGGCCUAGUCCUUAUAAAUUUCCUUUGAGUACCCUUUAUUGUAUGCCAUUUGAUGCACAAGGAUUUCAUUAUUUAUGUACUCAAGGUGUAAUUCCAAACAGGACUUAUUUGAUGCCUAGGUCUUUCAACUGUUUGGUCGAUUACCCAGAGGUUCAUAUACACUGCUUAUGAUUACAAAUCCUUUGUUUGCAAACCUCUUUAUGAGUAUUCAUGGACUGAUGGGAUCGUUUAUAAUCUUACAUACGCCCAUUUAUUCUAAGUCCAUGAAAGGAUUUGUCCAGCCUUAUGCGCAGUGAUGUUCUCGAGAACCUUUCUUAUAUUUGAGCUCAAUACUCUCUGGUAAUCUCUUAUAUUAUCCAGUGGACUUAUAUAAAUAUGCAGGCAUUACAUCCAUUAGCCGCAAAUGAAGUCUUUUCAUUUAUAUAGCCAGACUUAGCAUCCACCACAUGGGAGCAUAUCUCCUCAUAAUAUAUUCAUGGUCUAUGUGAGGAUCCUUGUGCAAUAUGCCGUGCUUUAUAUAUCACGAUAUCACCAUAUUUAUUUCUUUUCCUCACAAAGACCCAUUUAUGUCCAACUGGCUUUAUAUCGAGAGGUGGCCUUAUACAUUCCUCUUCUCCACAUAUUUAAUCCAAUCUGUGCAUUGAGUGCAUUCUUAUUAUGGACGUGGGUUAUCUCCACAUAUUUAAUCCAAUCUGUGCAUUGAGUGCAUUCUAUUAUGGACGGGGUGUUAUAGACUAGAGAGAAUAGAGAGGGAAAUAGGAUGCUUUAUUCAUUAGGUUAAAGCCAUAUAUAUAGGUUCAUACAAAGGAGGUUACAAGUAAACCCUAAUACAAGUUACACCUCCAUAACAUUGGGCCGGACCGGGCUUGAUAUGGGCCGGGCCUUACUGGGCUUGUUAUGACAAUCCACUAUAUUCAUAACACUCCCCCUUGGAUGUAAUAACCUUCGUGAGCUAGUAAUACGCUUGGGGAUGUUGCCUCAUUAAAACCUUACCAGGAAAACCCAUUGGGAUAAAACCGUGGUGAAGGAAAAAGAGUACNNNNNNNNNNNNNNNNNNNNNNNNNNNNNNNNNNNNNNNNNNNNNNNNNNNNNNNNNNNNNNNNNNNNNNNNNNNNNNNNNNNNNNNNNNNNNNNNNNNNACUGAAGAUCUUUAAGCCAUCGCAUUCCAAUCUGCUUAAUAAGCUUCUUGAGCGUUGAAGUUGGAAGCGACUUGGUGAAUAGAUCCGCCGAGUUGUCACAUGAUUGAACUUGUUCGACUUGAACUUCUCCGGCUUUCUGUAAUUCAUGAGUGAAGAAGAACUUUGGCAAGAUGUGUUUCGUCAUAUCUCCUUUGAUGUAUCCAUUUUUGAGCUGAGCUAUGCAGGCAGCAUUGUCCUCAUACAUUAUUGUUGGUGCUGCCUUCCCUUCGGUCAUCCCACAAUCGAUCAUAAUAUGUUGAGUCAUGGACCUCAACCAAACGCAUUCACGGCUGGCUUCAUGCAUCGCCAAGAUUUCAGAAUGGUUGGACGAUGUUGCUGCGAUCGUUUGCUUUUGAGAUCGCCAAGAUAUUGCCGUUCCACCGUACGUGAAAACAUAGCCAGUUUGUGAUCGACCAUUGUGCGGAUCCGAGAGAUAACCUGCAUCAGCAAAACCAACUAAUCCCUCCUUGGGAUGGUUAGUAUAAAAUAAACCCAAAUCUUUCGUACCUUGUAGAUAACGAAGAAUAUGUUGUAAUCCCGUCCCAGUGCCUUUGGGUUGGACAUGAGCUAAAUCUAGAUAAUAGAUUCACGACAAAACAUAUAUCAGGCCUAGUGUGGCUCGGCAGAUACAUUAAAGCUCUUAUGACACUGAGGUAUGGCAUUUACGGACUGAAUGGAUCACUAUCCAAUCUUAGGCUUCUCACUACCAUUGGGCCUGGUCAAUGGGCGGGCCUAGUCCUUAUUAAAUUUCUCCGUUGAGUACCCUUUAUUGUAUGCCAUUUGAUGCACAAGGAUUUCAUUAUUUAUGUACUCAAGGUGUAAUUCCAAACAGGACUUAUUUAUUGCAUAGGUCUUUCAACUGUUUGGUCGAUUACCCAGAGGUUCAUAUACACUGCUUAUGAUUACAAAUCCUUUGUUUGCAAACCUCUUUAUGAGUAUUCAUGGACUGAUGGGAUCGUUUAUAAUCUUACAUACGCCCAUUUAUUCUAAGUCCAUGAAAGGAUUUGUCCAGCCUUAUGCGCAGUGAUGUUCUCGAGAACCUUUCUUAUAUUUGAGCUCAAUACUCUCUGGUAAUCUCUUAUAUUAUCCAAUGGACUUAUAUAAAUAUGCAGGCAUUACAUCCAUUAGCCGCAAAUCAAGUCUUUUCUUUUAUAUAGUCAGACUUAGCAUCCACCACAUGGGAGCAUAUCUCCUCAUAAUAUAUUCAUGGUCUAUGUGAGGAUCCUUGUGCAAUAUGCCGUGCUUUAUAUCUCACGAUAUCACCAUAUUUAUUUCUUUUCCUCACAAAGACCCAUUUAUGUCCAACUGGCUUUAUACGAGAGGUGGCCUUAUACAUUCCUCUUCUCC